rnacentral:rRNA from 1 species
CCUUCAGUUUGGGAUAACCCAGGGAAACUUCUUGCAAAUACCGGAUACGCCCUUCGGGGGAAAGAUUGAUCGCUGAAGGAUCGGCCCGCGUCUGAUUAGCUGGUUGGUGAGGUAAUGGCUCACCAAGGCGACGAUCAGUAGCUGGUCUGAGAGGAUGAUCAGCCACACUGGGACUGAGACACGGCCCAGACUCCUACGGGAGGCAGCAGUGGGGAAUAUUGGACAAUGGGCGCAAGCCUGAUCCAGCCAUGCCGCGUGAGUGAUGACGGCCUUAGGGUUGUAAAGCUCUUUCACCCACGACGAUAAUGACGGUAGUGGGAGAAGAAGCCCCGGCUAACUUCGUGCCAGCAGCCGCGGUAAUA